AAAAAACAACAAAAGCAAAAUUGGAAAGGGAAUAGGGUUCAAAAGGGGGUGUCCCUUCAACUUCUACAUGAAACUCUCUCUUCUCUCAUUCACCAUGGCAACUCCGUCUUCUAUGAUCUACAAUGUUGUCUGAAUCCCUCGCUUCGAUGCACGGUGGCCUUCUUUCCAGCCUCUCAUCUUAGCCACGAGACAUCCUUAUCGCCACUAACCUCUAACCGUACACCUCCGUUCAACCUUCGAUAUCUCUUCUCCGAUGAUUCCUCCUUAUCGCCGAUGUCACAUCUAUACACGACCAUUUCCAUAUCUACUCAUCUAUGUUCAUCCUCUUCAUUCCUUAUUCUAUUGUUUUUCCUUAACUACACAUCCAAAUAG